rnacentral:rRNA from 1 species
AGCGAACGCUGGCGGCAGGCUUAACACAUGCAAGUCGAACGGGCGUAGCAAUACGUCAGUGGCAGACGGGUGAGUAACGCGUGGGAACGUACCUUUUGGUUCGGAACAACACAGGGAAACUUGUGCUAAUACCGGAUAAGCCCUUACGGGGAAAGAUUUAUCGCCGAAAGAUCGGCCCGCGUCUGAUUAGCUAGUUGGUGAGGUAAUGGCUCACCAAGGCGACGAUCAGUAGCUGGUCUGAGAGGAUGAUCAGCCACAUUGGGACUGAGACACGGCCCAAACUCCUACGGGAGGCAG